GUGGGGAAUCUUAGACAAUGGGCGCAAGCCUGAUCUAGCCAUGCCGCGUGAGCGAUGAAGGCCUUAGGGUUGUAAAGCUCUUUCGUGGGGGAAGAUAAUGACUGUACCCCAAGAAGAAGCCCCGGCUAACUCCGUGCCAGCAGCCGCGGUAAUACGGAGGGGGCUAGCGUUGUUCGGAAUUACUGGGCGUAAAGCGCACGUAGGCGGACUGGAAAGUCAGGGGUGAAAUCCCGGGGCUCAACCCCGGAACUGCCUUUGAAACUCCCAGUCUUGAGGUCGAGAGAGGUGGGUGGAAUUCCGAGUGUAGAGGUGAAAUUCGUAGAUAUUCGGAGGAACACCAGUGGCGAAGGCGGCCCACUGGCUCGAUACUGACGCUGAGGUGCGAAAGCGUGGGGAGCAAACAGGAUUAGAAACCCCGGUAGUCC
rnacentral:rRNA from 1 species